UAAAACCAAAUGUUUAAUUGUGUUCCCAUGAGAAAGAGGGAAGGGAGGCCGUCCAUCACGCAGCAGGAGCUCCUGCUACUUCACUGUCUCGGCGUUAACUCGGACCAAAGUUAAUCAUUCAUGAAAACAGCUCGGCAGGUGGAGCAGUGAUAUCAGGACGGAGAUGCCUUGUGAUGGAUGUUUAGCAUAUAAAACCUUCUCCCUCUGUUUGUUGUUCCCCCGCAUUGAAACCAAAUAAAAUAUGAGAUUAGUGCGAGCGAAAGAUGAAGAAAUGCACUCUCCAUAAAUUCACCUUGUAAAUCUUUGUGACACUUUUGUUGACGCAGUGUCAGUGAAGUGUUGAGUCGACUUUGCGGUCGUUUAAGGCCCCCGGUGAGCCAUUCUGUUUUUCUACCAGUGUCGACUGCACAACCUGAAAUGUCACAAUUCUGUCAGAAGUAAAACAGUGUUAUGUGCUUGUUUUUCUGCAUGAUGGCGAAGUGGGAUGAAAGCGGGCUCGUGUCGAUGCAGCGAGACCUUCACCUGCUACCUGGAAAUAAAGCCAAACGAAGGACAAGCAAGGAGGCUGACAAACCGAAGUUGCCCGUCACAGCCACAAGAGGGCGCUUCAGAUGGAGGCGACCUACAGGUCUGAGCUCCACCUGAUGGGGAGCAGAGCGACGACCCGCCUGAAGCGACUCGGAGUCACAGCUUGCGAAUCACCGGCAGAGGACUGCGAGUAGACACCGGAAAUGCACAGGAAAACGUUUCGGUUUCCACAUUUGUUUGCCGAGUGUGUAUUUGUGUGUGUGUGAAAUGAAAUAUAAGAUGAAAUAUCUACACUGGACGAGAAUUAGCAGGCCUAAGAAUGAGCCACAACAUUGCGACUGUCAGUGGAUUUUGCAAAGUAUAGCAAACUGUCUGUAGACAAAUGAAAGCUUUAUUGGCUGUGAAUAAAAGCUGUCAAGCGAUGGGAAAUAAAACAGAAAAAGCAGUUGUGGAGGAGAACAACACGUUGCAUUUCCUGCUUCUUCAUGUCACGUCAGUCAGUCGUGUCCUCUUUAAUUGCAGUCGCAACCGGAUUUUAAUUUGCAUUUGUCAGGGUUUGUGGUCGACGUGAGAAGAAAUGUCAGUCCAAGAUCCCAAACUCAUGAGGGAAAGCGAGAGGACACAGAGACGGUAGAAGGACUGCAUGGAGAUUCGAUAACAGACAGGCUAAAAGGUCAAUAAUAAUGUCGUCAUAACCCUGUCCGUCCUGUCUGUGUGUCCUGUCUCUUACAUGUUCCUCCAACAUCCAGCAAGCAAACAGGUCUUAUUCACAACAGUCUGUGUGUGUGUGAGCGAAAAAACAGAAAGAAGUAAAAGUAAAAUAGAUGCCGGCACUCCCUCUAGCGGUCGACUUCUGGAAUAGCAUAAAAGGUGUAACAGCAGUAUGAAUACACUUGAUUGUACUGAUGUCAAAUCAUACUGGCUGACAGAGGACAGACCCUGUAAGAAUACUGCGAGUGUUCAGGUUUAAAAAAAGCAUAAAGAAACACAAAGCAAUUAUUUAAUUAAAGAUAAGGUUGCUAAUAAUCAUGUUUUUGUUUUUUGAUGACUUUUAAUUGGAGCUGUGAGGAACCAAGCGAAGGUUCAAAUGUUGACAUGAACUAAAGGUGAGAAAGCAUUAAAAGGAUUCCAGUGUGUCGCACGCACAGCAGCAGCUCAGCGAGACGAGCAGCUGAUGGAGCUGCUGUUCCCUUCAAAGUUUUCUUUUCACUAACGUAAACAAUAAAUAUAAGCAGGAGAUUCGGCGGUCCAUGUUGAGGUAUCGCUGCAUACCUCAACACGAUAAGCUCCUGCCCGGUGACGUUAUGAGGGGGCGGAAUCAAACUACGUAUUGUACAAUUACGUAUUGUCGCUGCACAGGUGCGUAUCCUCCAUGCGAUUGGCUGCUUGUAACGAGUCACAGGUGUCUGUUAAUGAGGCGGGCCAGUAUAAAAGCGACAGUCCUUCCCUGCUUCUUUCUUUGCGCCCUGUCAUCUCUUCCGGGUCGGAGGUCGUUUGGCCCGUCAGGUAAACGCCGGUGGCUGCCAGGAGUCCUGUCCCUUUGUCCGCUCCUGCCUCCUGUUGUGUGAGGGUGUGUGUCCGCUAACAAGGUAGAGUGCUGCUCCACCUCCACUGUCGGUGGUCGCCGGCGGGGUCUUGGUGUGGUGCGAUGCCGGAGUAAGUAUGUUCAUAAAAACUAAAAGCAAUAUAGGUAUAUUGGUCUAUGUAAGUAUAGGUAAUUGUUUCUUUUCGUAUGUCAUGCGAGUGUGUGGCAGGUGGUGUGCUGCUCCAGCUCCAUUGGCCCCACCUGUGCAGCGGUGUUAGCCGUUAAUUUGGCUGCGCUUUCGACGCUGUGUUGCAUGGGCAGGAGCUGAGUGGUGGUUUCCUUCUCACAAUCCACAAUUAGGUUUGGAAUGUGGUGACUUGGUUUGCAGUGGUUAGUAUUGUACCUGGCAUUUUCUGUAUUUUUACUGUAUGUAGC